GUAAUAUUCUGCUUUUAAAACGUGGGAAUGCCCUGAGGAAUAACGGGACCAGCUCUUCAAGUUCUAGACUGGAUGUAAAGUGGGCACUGGGUCCUGGAGCCCCCACCGGCUGCAGGUGACAUUUACGGUGCCUGUGGAGUGCCAACACCACAGAUCUGCAGGUCCUGUGCUGUGCGUGCGUGGAUUUGGAGAGGCUGCCACUGUGGCCCCAUCCACUGUCGGGGAAGCCAGAUCCUCCUGCCAUCAGCCCGGUGCACACAGUCCUCAGGCCAAACUAUUCUGUUGACAGCCUCCAAAAUAUGCUUCCUGAAAAAAAGCCAUCUGAAGGAUCCAUGGGUAUUUCUGGGGUAAAGGAGAAAGCCCAGCCCAGAGGAGCUGUCCACACCACACAGCCUCUAUGGAACAUACCCUGGAAGGCAAGAGAGACACUGACCCCUAAAAUACCCUGACCUUCCCCUGAAGGAAGAACCAGUACU